rnacentral:rRNA from 1 species
AGGACUUGACAUUUGCAUGACCGGUAUAGAGAUAUACCUUUACCUUCGGGUACAUGUAAACAGGUGCUGCAUGGCUGUCGUCAGCUCGUGUUGUGAGAUGUUGGGUUAAGUCCCGCAACGAGCGCAACCCCUACUGUUAGUUGCCAUCAGGUUAAGCUGGGCACUCUAGCGGAACUGCCGGUGACAAACCGGAGGAAGGUGGGGAUGACGUCAAGUCCUCAUGGCCCUUAUGUCCUGGGCUACACACGUGCUACAAUGGGUUGUACAAAGGGUAGCGAGACUGCGAAGUUAAGCCAAUCCCAAAAAGCAAUCCGUAGUUCGGAUUGGAGUCUGCAACUCGACUCCAUGAAGU